rnacentral:rRNA from 1 species
CGUGCACGCUGGCGGUAGGCCUAACACAUGCAAGUCGAACGGCAGCACAGUAAGAGCUUGCUCUUACGGGUGGCGAGUGGCGGACGGGUGAGGAAUACAUCGGAAUCUACUUUUUCGUGGGGGAUAACGUAGGGAAACUUACGCUAAUACCGCAUACGACCUACGGGUGAAAGCAGGGGAUCUUCGGACCUUGCGCGAUUGAAUGAGCCGAUGUCGGAUUAGCUAGUUGGCGGGGUAAAGGCCCACCAAGGCGACGAUCCGUAGCUGGUCUGAGAGGAUGAUCAGCCGCACUGGAACUGAGACACGGUCCAGACUCCUACGGGAGGCAGCAGUGGGGAAUAUUGGACAAUGGGCGCAAGCCUGAUCCAGCCAUACCGCGUGGGUGAAGAAGGCCUUCGGGUUGUAAAGCCCUUUUGUUGGGAAAGAAAAGCAGCAGGUUAAUACCCCGCUGUUCUGACGGUACCCAAAGAAUAAGCACCGGCUAACUUCGUG